GGAGGGUUCGCAUAGUGGUCGAUUGCGCUCGCUUGGAAAGCGGGUAUACCGCAAGGUAUCAAGAGUUCGAAUCUCUUACCCUCCG
rnacentral:tRNA from 3 species